rfam:Schistosoma margrebowiei strain Zambia genome assembly, scaffold: SMRZ_contig0000177
AUAUAGCUGACGAGUCCCAAAUAGGACGAAACGCGCAUCCUGGAU